ACCAGGCAGAGCGCGUGUGGCCGCCGAGCACAUGGACCCACUGGUCAAGCGGGCUCGGCAAGGCCAGGAUGAAGAGAAGCUACGAACUUAGCAUUCCCAGAGCCCCCCGAGUGGAUAUCCGCGUGGAAAGGAUGUUGGCAGCCCCGGUGACCUCGGAGUCACGGCUGGAUCCACCCUCUUUAUACCCUUUAAGCGUUCCAGAAGGAUUUUGAGAUCCUUUCCUAAAUCAAAGGUGGAAUAUUUGGGGAUUUGGAAAAUUGAGAAGCCAGUCUCUCAGAAGAACCAGUUGUGUUACUUUGCUGUGAGAUGCCUGCCCUAAGAGAGGAGCAGAAGGUCGGAACGGGUCCUCUAAUGUGAUAAUUAGAUGUGAAGCGUUGACUUAAGAGAUGCCAAGUAACUCAGCAGAUGUCACACAGACGAUAAAUAGCAAAGAUGGAAGUCUUCAUGCCGGAGGCAAUCCUAUAAGACAGCUGAGUUCUGCAGAGCUGGUAGGAGACAGACUUGCUCAGGUGAUAGAUCCAGCCAUGAUACUGACCCUAAGAGAAUGAGACGCUCUGCAGAAGACAGAAGAUUCCUGAAACUGGGAAAGGUGCCUAGAAAUCCUGAUAAGAGUGAAGAAGGAGCUGGCAGAGCAGCCUUCCUCCGCACUAUGAAAGACAUCCAACAGAGAGCAAGUUCCCACCUCACUUCCAGCUUGACUCCUUUUUAUCUCCUAACUGUGGUCUGUGAUGUCUUCAGCAAUGGUAUUAACUAGUUCUGGGUACCUGGAGGCACAGCAGCCAUGUUGAACCUAUGAGGUGAUGAAAAACCAUGCAACUAGAAACCAGAAUGGAAGAAAAGAAGAAGCUGGAUCCUUGACUGAAUUGUCGAUGGGGGAUAGUCCAUCAUCCCAGGGCUAAGACCACCUCCAGAUUUCUUGUUUGGUGAAACAAGUCCUGAUUGUUUACAUUCCCUCGUGUUGAGCUGUCUCUUGCUUGUAGCUGAAAGCAUUUCUAAUAGAUAUUCAGAUUAUCAGCCUUAGCUCCAAGCUAGAAUACUCUAUGGGACCUUAGCUUCUCCAUGAAUUCCUUUGCUCAUCUGUGUAAUGCUCAAUAAAUGUAAAUUGAACCCUGAA
rnacentral:lncRNA from 1 species